AUUGAACGCUGGCGGCAGGCCUAACACAUGCAAGUCGAACGAGUGGCGGACGGGUGAGUAAUGUCUGGGAAACUGACUGAUGGAGGGGGAUAACUACUGGAAACGGUAGCUAAUACCGCAUACCAUCGGAUGUGCCCAGAUGGGAUUGGCUAGUAGUUGGUGUAAAGGCUCACCUAGGCGUCGAUCCCGAGCUGGUCUGAGAGGAUGACAAGCCACACUGGAACUGAGACACGGUCCAGACUCCUACGGGAGGCAGCAGUGGGGAAUAUUGCAAAAUGGGCGAAAUCCUGAUGCAGCCAUGCCGCGUGUAUGAAGAAGGCCUGCGGGUUGUAAAGUACUUUCAGCGGGGAGGCGUUACCCUCAGAAGAAGCACCGGCUAACUCCGUGCCAGCCGCCGCGGUAAUAC
rnacentral:rRNA from 1 species